GAUGAAGAACGCAGCGAAAUGCGAUACGUAAUGUGAAUUGCAGAAUUCAGUGAAUCAUCGAAUCUUUGAACGCACAUUGCGCCCUUUGGUAUUCCUUAGGGCAUGCCUGUUCGAGCGUCAUUUAAACCUUCAAGCUAAGCUUGGUGUUGGGUGACUGUCCGCCUCACGGCGGACUCGCCUCAAAAUUAUUGGCGGCCGGUACAUUGGCUUCGAGCGCAGCAGAAACGCGAACUCGGGCCCGUCGUAUUGGCUCCCAGAAGCUAUCUUCACAAUUUUGACCUCGGAUCAGGUAUGGAUACCCGCUGAACUUAAGCAUAUCAAUAAGCGGAGGA
rnacentral:misc_RNA from 1 species